AUACACAGCAGGUAAUUUAAAUUCAGUGCCUCAAGAUAUUGUUUUCAACUUCCCUUCCCAUCUUCCCUUCUGCAAGGGCAACUUAACCCCCAGUGCUACGGGCCCCUUCCAUCCUGUUGCAUCAGUCUCCAGCUGGGGCUGUUCCAGCCACAUUGUUAGAGCAACAUGAUGAAAGAUCUGCAGCGUCUGAUGCAAAACUCUGCUCCCUCGGUGUCCUCUCACCCAACUAGCUGGCUUGGUCCCCUGCAUGAGAACGCGGCUGCCUGACUGGGGAACACGUGCUGGUCCCCAGAGCUCCAGAUCCUGGCUUUGAAAGCAACCGUAGGUCUUUACAUGGGAAGCAGAACUCUGGAGAACUCUGCACACAGAGAACUCUGACACAGGCCUUCGGCCCCAAGCACACUCAUCUCUGGAAGGUCCAAACUAAAAUGUGCUGUGUGUUUGAUCUGAGGUUUUGCCAAAGACUCAGAAUAUGAGGGCAAGGAGCAGAAGAGAGCGUUUUAUAUUUCCCAAGUCCCUGCUAUGUGCCCCUACUGUGCUAUGUGUGUUUGUAUAUUAUUGUCACAUAAAUCUGACGAGUUUUGGAACGAGAAAUUAGUGACCUGCAGCAAUGAGUCGGCACUUCAAUCUCUCCGGGUUGGGGGACAGAGUUGGCCCUUUAAGCAAGAGUGAAAACUCAGAACAUAGAAAGCUGCUGAUGUCUGUAUGCUACACCCAAGGAUUUCAAGCCAGCUUCAGUUUGGCUCUGAGAACUACAAGGCAGCUGUCUGGCUGGUAAUGAACACAGAACAUGAGUCAGGACUAUCAUGGCUCUGGGCUCAAUGCUGAGCACACAGUCGGUACACAUGAAACAUUUGCCAAACUACCUGUAAGGUCUGAGAGCCAAGGCUCCAUUUCUCUCCAAGGGCCUGCCAAAAGUAAACUGUGGGGGGCCACAUAACACAUUUCAAUGCUCUCUACACUGAGCCCCACUUGUAACUUUUACAUGUCAGACCCCAGAAUAACAGGGAUCUAAAUACAUUUAUGGAAGCCACACAGUAGCAUUUUGAGGCUGAGAAGCCCCCUCCUUUGUGAUCACAUCGCUUCUGAAACCCAACUCACAGCUCUUUGAGCUGUCACUCUUAAUACUGCUCCUACAGGAUGAACUAGAUCCCCACUGCUUUAUGUCAUCCUCUGUGCUCCCUGUUUUUGUGUUUAUUUACUAAUUGGCUGACUCUGGUUGUUUCUUAUUGAUUUACAAGUCAACUCAGAAAAAGUGAUUCAAGUGUAAGGUAUUGAAGGCGUGGAUCUUUAUUCUCACACUGCUACUUUGGUCACCGAGACCAUGUCAUCACUGGGAAUAUCCAUUCACCUUGUAUCUCCCAAACUUGGUAAGGAAGGGAUCAGAAUCAUUAAACCUCCUAGAGUAGACAAUGCCACAUUCAUUCAUUCACUUAUUGAGACAGAAGGACGUUAUCUCCUACACAAAGAAAAGUUGGGGGACACCUGGCGGGCUCAGUUGGUAGAGCAUGCAACUCUAAAUCUCAGGGUCAUGAGUUCAAGCCCCACACUGGGUAUGUAGCCUACUUUAAAAAAUUUUUUUAAAUUUCAUUAAAGUUUAAAACAAAAGAAAAGUAGUGACUUUAAUAACUGUAAUCAAUUUUCUUGAGCACUAGGGUGCCAUGGAGUUAGGACUCUCUGCAGUGUUUCUCAAACUGCAGUCCUUUCAACCAACUGCAGCAGAAUUCCCUGGAAUGAUUAUAAAUAUAGAUUCCUGGAAUCCAACCCAGACUUAAUGUAACAGAAUUUGGUUUUU